rnacentral:rRNA from 1 species
GUGGGGAAUAUUGGACAAUGGGCGAAAGCCUGAUCCAGCCAUGCCGCGUGUGUGAAGAAGGUCUUCGGAUUGUAAAGCACUUUAAGUUGGGAGGAAGGGCAGUAAGUUAAUACCUUGCUCUUUUGACGUUACCAACAGAAUAAGCACCGGCUAACUUCGUGCCAGCAGCCGCGGUAAUACGAAGGGUGCAAGCGUUAAUCGGAAUUACUGGGCGUAAAGCGCGCGUAGGUGGUUCAGCAAGUUGAAGGUGAAAUCCCCGGGCUCAACCUGGGAACUGCCUCCAAAACUACUGAGCUAGAGUACGGUAGAGGGUAGUGGAAUUUCCUGUGUAGCGGUGAAAUGCGUAGAUAUAGGAAGGAACACCAGUGGCGAAGGCGACUACCUGGACUGAUACUGACACUGAGGUGCGAAAGCGUGGGGAGCAAACAGGAUUAGAAACCCCGGUAGUCC